GAAAUGCGAUAAGCAGUGUGAAUUGCAGAAUUCAGUGAAUCAUCGAAUCUUUGAACACACAUUCGCCCCUUGGAAUUCCAUGGGGCAUGCCUGUUCGAGCGUCAUUUGUACCCUCAAGCUUUGCUUGGUGUUGGGCGUCUUGUCCUCUUCUGGAGGACUCGCCUCAAAACAAUUGGCACCCGGCAUAUUGGUAUCGGAGCGCAGCACAAGUCGCUCUUUGUUCCAUGUAUGUUGGCGUCCAUCAAGACCAUUUUUUCACUCUUGACCUCGGAUCAGGUAGGGAUACCCGCUGAACUUAA
rnacentral:misc_RNA from 1 species